UACGAAGGGUGCAAGCGUUAAUCGGAAUUACUGGGCGUAAAGCGUGCGUAGGCGGUUUGUUAAGUCUGCUGUGAAAUCCCCGGGCUCAACCUGGGAAUGGCAGUGGAUACUGGCAAGCUAGAGUGUGUCAGAGGAUGGUGGAAUUCCCGGUGUAGCGGUGAAAUGCGUAGAGAUCGGGAGGAACAUCAGUGGCGAAGGCGGCCAUCUGGGACAACACUGACGCUGAGGCACGAAAGCGUGGGGAGCAAACAGGAUUAGAUACCCUGGUAGUCCACGCCCUAAACGAUGCGAACUGGAUGUUGGUCUCAACUCGGAGAUCAGUGUCGAAGCUAACGCGUUAAGUUCGCCGCCUGGGGAGUACGGUCGCAAGACUGAA
rnacentral:rRNA from 1 species